rnacentral:lncRNA from 1 species
UGAAUCUUGGAGGAUGGAGACACACUGAGGGCAGCAACGGUAAAAACAAACUAAACUAGGGUCAUCCAGAGGACUGAUUCUUGCAGUUAUUUCAACUUGUUUGACUGGUUCAGGCAUGCUGUUUGCAGAUUCUAAGCCAUGAACUGCUUCACCAUUACUUGAGUCGGCUGACUUUUUGGGAUCUUCUUGUGAGAUAGAAUUUGAUUCCCCAGAUCCAACGUGAUUGUUUUCGGAAUUAUCUUUUUCUUGCAAACAAGUGACUGUUGCUGUUGUUUGGGUUUCAUUCUGUUCAUGGUCGGCUGCAGGAGAGUUAAGAUCAAGGAGAACAGUCUGAUGCAAGGAAACUACUCCUGAAUCCUCAAUCAACAUUGCAGAAUUCGAAGUAUCAUCACCAUUCUCUUUGAUCAAAACUAAGCCGUCUGUAAUCUCCACAACUGGCUGAUGAUUGUCGGUAAGAUCCGUAGAUGCUCUAGGGUCUGGACAAUUGAUGUUUUGUGUAUCUUCUUUCAGGUCUCCUUUUGAUCGAUCAGAUGUUCCUUGCUCAGUUGGCUCAUCCCUCACUGUCGCAUCAGCUACAGAACACGACAAUGGAUUCAUCGACUCUGUUUGAGCAUUUGAUUCAAAACUGUAAACAGUGAAAUUGUGUUAGAUAUACAGCAAGCUUUAGAAACAAACAUACAUAAAAACAAAGUAUAUCAAGGCGUACCUUCGCAUUGCAUAAACCCAACUGUUAACCAGAUCUUCCAGAUAAGCAACUUGAGACAAAAUUCUGAUAUAUUGACAUCUGUCCUUUCCAGCAUCGAUUUUCAUAUUGAUCCGCCCAACUAAGAGCUCGAGAACUUUCCUUACUUCAAAAGAGACUUCCCUCAGUGAUGUAUAGGUUCCUCUAUACGCAGAUAAUCCAACAGCAACGAGGCCCCUGGCAGUGCCAGAUAAAUCUUUGCCUCUAACAUUGUUGGAACCGGAAGCAGUAGUACUCUGCUCUGAUGGAUUAUGAGGACGAAUGAUACACGAAUUAAACGGCCAUCCUCUCCAAGGACCCGAAACAUCUGCGCUUGGCCCUUCCUUAAGCUUUGAUGUCACGCUACCAAGUCUCAAUUCGCGAGUAACUAAUUUACGCAUUGAAUCUUGGAGGAUGGAGACACACUGAGGGCAGCAACGGUAAAAACAAACUAAACUAGGGUCAUCCAGAGGACUGAUUCUUGCAGUUAUUUCAACUUGUUUGACUGGUUCAGGCAUGCUGUUUGCAGAUUCUAAGCCAUGAACUGCUUCACCAUUACUUGAGUCGGCUGACUUUUUGGGAUCUUCUUGUGAGAUAGAAUUUGAUUCCCCAGAUCCAACGUGAUUGUUUUCGGAAUUAUCUUUUUCUUGCAAACAAGUGACUGUUGCUGUUGUUUGGGUUUCAUUCUGUUCAUGGUCGGCUGCAGGAGAGUUAAGAUCAAGGAGAACAGUCUGAUGCAAGGAAACUACUCCUGAAUCCUCAAUCAACAUUGCAGAAUUCGAAGUAUCAUCACCAUUCUCUUUGAUCAAAACUAAGCCGUCUGUAAUCUCCACAACUGGCUGAUGAUUGUCGGUAAGAUCCGUAGAUGCUCUAGGGUCUGGACAAUUGAUGUUUUGUGUAUCUUCUUUCAGGUCUCCUUUUGAUCGAUCAGAUGUUCCUUGCUCAGUUGGCUCAUCCCUCACUGUCGCAUCAGCUACAGAACACGACAAUGGAUUCAUCGACUCUGUUUGAGCAUUUGAUUCAAAACUGUAAACAGUGAAAUUGUGUUAGAUAUACAGCAAGCUUUAGAAACAAACAUACAUAAAAACAAAGUAUAUCAAGGCGUACCUUCGCAUUGCAUAAACCCAACUGUUAACCAGAUCUUCCAGAUAAGCAACUUGAGACAAAAUUCUGAUAUAUUGACAUCUGUCCUUUCCAGCAUCGAUUUUCAUAUUGAUCCGCCCAACUAAGAGCUCGAGAACUUUCCUUACUUCAAAAGAGACUUCCCUCAGUGAUGUAUAGGUUCCUCUAUACGCAGAUAAUCCAACAGCAACGAGGCCCCUGGCAGUGCCAGAUAAAUCUUUGCCUCUAACAUUGUUGGAACCGGAAGCAGUAGUACUCUGCUCUGAUGGAUUAUGAGGACGAAUGAUACACGAAUUAAACGGCCAUCCUCUCCAAGGACCCGAAACAUCUGCGCUUGGCCCUUCCUUAAGCUUUGAUGUCACCCAACAAAGCUCAGCAAAUUGAGGAUACCGUAGAAUUUGAUAACCAAAUGUAGAGACGGCUAACUCCAAGCUUGAUUUCGGUUUCGCAGUAAUGCUGAUAGGUAUCGGUGGCACUUUCAAAGAACAAUCCUCAGGAGGUUUUGAUUUGAUACCUACUUCUUCCCCUGCAACAUGAUCAGUAUUAUUCUGAUAAGCUGGAUCUCUGCAAUCCUGGUCAGGAUCCUCUCUUUCGUAUGUCUUCGGUACGUCAUAGUGUGUAUGGGUUCCCUGAUGCACCAAAUGAAGAAACACUUGGAUUGCCCGCCUUGACAACUCAGUAGCAGACAAGUCAAUGGCCAUGUCUUGGUCAGAACUUUCAGCAAUUUGUACAGUGAAUUGUGGAACAGCCUCUGACUUAGUUGGCUGAUACUCCUUUGAUAGGUCGGUCUUAAAGAACUGUUGUAUCUUAGGAGGCAGGAGUUUGUAGGGCAUGCCAGAAGUAGCCUAUCACCAAAAAGGAAAAAAAGGAUUUAGUCUCACGUGUUGAUACUCUUCUCAGAGACUUCUAAUCAACAAAGUAGGGAGCACAGAGAUUUGAAAAAGAAGAGUACACGAAACUAAGGCUUAUAUUCACAAAAUACAAGAAAAAAAGCUAUCCGAAAGUACACUAAACAAGCAUAUACGAGAGGUAUUGGAGAAACAAAUUAAGUAAGAAGUUAAGCAUACCAGAAUUAUCAUCUUUGUGGAAACUCGCAAUGAUUCUACUUGCUCAAGAAAUGUGUUCCAAGCAUGUGAAACUCGAGAAGAAUACUGCAACUCCAUUUUCUCCACUGUUUCUGGACGAACGGGAGAAGAAUUUUCUUUUAAAGAAUCAUCAUCACACUCGACCUCCUCAUUCAGUGGAGUUUCUGUCUCUACAGCCCACAAGUCAAUCCUUGGCAUGAAUACCACACAUGAUUUCCUGCUAGAACAUUUCACUACAGGUCGGACAGAUUUACCAGUUAGUAAUCUGGAGAUGGACUAGAACCAAGCAAAUCAACGAAAGACUAAAAGAAAAAAAGUAUGUAGCUGCUUAAAUAUCAUUAUCAGGUACGUAAUGAAAUGUUAAUAACAGACGUACUUAAUAAGUGAGUUACGCCUAGCACCAGAUCCCCAUUUCCUUCUUGUGAAAUUGUCGCCGUGUCUAUCUUCUGCAUCUCCGCAUUUCCAAUAAAACAAUGCAAGAUGCAAGAAGCAAGAUGACGUUGACCAGAUCUAGGUCCUCCAGCAAUAAGCAGUUGGAACCCAGACUUGUUCAUUGAUUCUGAAGGAGCAUUCCCCAACCCAGGAUGUCGGCGGACUCUGUGUACCAUGAACUGCGCAGAACCCAAACUACAGUCGCCUGCACCAGGGGAGCUUGGAACAGAUCUAACCGAGUCACAUCCUCCAUCUAGUAUCCCAGCAUAAGAAAGUCUCUGAACUAUAUCUUUUACAACAUCUACGUCCUGGAGAAGGCUAUCAACAUGAGACCACCAGCAAUCAUCAUUUAUCUUCUUGUCGCCCAAAGCAGAACAGAUCACAUUUUUGAAAUCAACCGCAGCUUUGGAAAGUAGAGGCGGCAGCACGAUGCGCUCUUCAAGAUGAAAAGCAACGAGUAAAGAACACAGUGAUGGUAACAAAGAAGGCACCAAGUAAACAGGAAGAGGAGAAGAAUUUAAGAUCAAGGAGAACAGUCUGAUGCAAGGAAACUACUCCUGAAUCCUCAAUCAACAUUGCAGAAUUCGAAGUAUCAUCACCAUUCUCUUUGAUCAAAACUAAGCCGUCUGUAAUCUCCACAACUGGCUGAUGAUUGUCGGUAAGAUCCGUAGAUGCUCUAGGGUCUGGACAAUUGAUGUUUUGUGUAUCUUCUUUCAGGUCUCCUUUUGAUCGAUCAGAUGUUCCUUGCUCAGUUGGCUCAUCCCUCACUGUCGCAUCAGCUACGGAACACGACAAUGGAUUCAUCGACUCUGUUUGAGCAUUUGAUUCAAAACU